rnacentral:rRNA from 1 species
AGUUGAUCCGUCGCGUCGAGACGACGCUGGCGGCGUGCCUAUACAUGCAAGUCGAGCGGACCGGAGUCGAGGCUUGCCUGGUUUGGUCAGCGGCGGACGGGUGAGUAACACGUGGGCAACCUGCCCGCAAGACCGGGAUAACUCCGGGAAACCGGAGCUAAUACCGGAUAACACCGAAGACCGCAUGGUCUUGGGUUGAAAGGCGGCCUUAGGGCUGUCACUUGCGGAUGGGCCCGCGGCGCAUUAGCUAGUUGGUGAGGUAACGGCUCACCAAGGCGACGAUGCGUAGCCGGCCUGAGAGGGUGACCGGCCACACUGGGACUGAGACACGGCCCAGACUCCUACGGGAGGCAGCAGUAGGGAAUCUUCCGCAAUGGGCGAAAGCCUGACGGAGCGACGCCGCGUGAGCGAAGAAGGCCUUCGGGUCGUAAAGCUCUGUUGUGAGGGACGAAGGAGCGCCGUUUGAAGAAGGCGGCGCGGUGACGGUACCUCACGAGAAAGUCCCGGCUAACUACGUG